rnacentral:rRNA from 1 species
GACGAACGCUGGCGGCGUGCCUAAUACAUGCAAGUCGAACGCAGUGGGGACGGGUGCGUAACACGUGGGUAACCUCCCCAUCAGAGGGGAUAACACUUGGAAACUGGUGCUACACCGAUACUGAUGGAUGGACCCGCGGUGCUUUGGCUAGUUCGUGAGGUAACGGCUCACCAAGGCCAAGAUGCCUAGCCGACCUGAGAGGAUGAUCGGCCACACUGGGACUGAGACACGGCCCAGACUCCUACGGGAGGCAGCAGUAGGGAAUCUUCGGCAAUUGACGAAAGUCUGACCGAGCAACGCCGCGUGAGUGAAGAAGGGCUUCGGAUCGUAAAACUCUGUUGUUAGAGAAGCGGUAUCUAACCAGAAAGCCACGGCUAACUACGUGCCAGCAGCCGCGGUAAUAC